ACGAACGCUGGCGGCGUGCCUAACACAUGCAAGUCGAACGGAGAUAUGAUUUCGGUUAUAUCUUAGUGGCGAACGGGUGAGUAACGCGUGAGCAACCUGACUCUUAGAGGGGGAUAACACUCGGAAACGAGUGCUAAUACCGCAUAAGACCACGACAUGGCAUCAUGACGAGGUCAAAGGAGCAAUCCGCUGAGAGAGGGGCUCGCGUCCCAUUAGAUAGAUGGCGGGGUAACGGCCCACCAUGUCAACGAUGGGUAGCCGAGCUGAGAGGCUGAUCGGCCACACUGGAACUGAGACACGGUCCAGACUCCUACGGGAGGCAGCAGUGGGGAAUAUUGGGCAAUGGGCGCAAGCCUGACCCAGCAACGCCGCGUGAGGGAAGAAGGCUUUCGGGUUGUAAACCUCUGUCCUUGGUGACGAAAAAAAUGACGGUAGCCAAGGAGGAAGCCCCGGCUAACUACGUGCCAGCAGCCGCGGUAAUACGUAGGGGGCGAGCGUUG
rnacentral:rRNA from 1 species